rnacentral:lncRNA from 1 species
UCUCCCAAAGUACUGGGAUUACAGGUGUAAGCCACUGCACCCAGCCUGAGAGACCGUAUUAUUUCUAGGCCUGAAGAAGCAAGGGGAGAGAGCAGAUACUGUAACACAGAGUGGGUGGCUGUUUGGAGAUAACUGCCCAACCAGAGCUGAAGCUUCCCAAAGAGAGACCAAAUGAUUCACAAUGACCCAGCAGGCAGGGAGCAAGGAAAUUAACAGUCUUACCUCAUUCUCCUAUCAACCCCAAUCUGCCACCAGGCUUCCCACUGACAGAACCUCAUGGAACCUAGAGGGCAAGGGAUUCAGUAGACACGGUCCAUGCAGGUGCUGAAGAUACAGAGAUAAAGACACCAUCAGAUGGGGAUAAGAGAAAUAAUCAAACCAUCACCUUAUGGCCUACUGAGAAUGAUAAGGGGAGAGAGUAAGAAAGCAAUGAGAUACACAUGUCUUGACUGCUUCUCUUCAUGCUGAAAUCCUGGGGGAAAGAAGUGCUAAAUCAGUUGAGGACAUGGGAACAUUUAUUCUGGAAGAAAUUUGGGUACAGAGACAGACAAGCACCAAGAGAAGAUGAUGUGAAGAAGCACAGCGAGAACACCAUGUGAAAAUGGAGGACUGGAAUGAAGCAUCUACAAGCCAGGAAAUGUCUGAGGCUACCAGAAGCCAGGAGAGAGGCCUGGAACAGAUCCUGCACUAGAACCUUCAAAGAGAGCAUGGUCCUGCUGACAUGUUGAUUUUGGACUUCUGGCCUCCAGAGCUGUGAGAAUAAAUUUCAG